rnacentral:rRNA from 1 species
GAGAUGCUUUGGUGCCUUCGGGAACUCUGAGACAGGUGCUGCAUGGCUGUCGUCAGCUCGUGUUGUGAAAUGUUGGGUUAAGUCCCGCAACGAGCGCAACCCUUAUCCUUUGUUGCCAGCGGUUCGGCCGGGAACUCAAAGGAGACUGCCGGUGAUAAACCGGAGGAAGGUGGGGAUGACGUCAAGUCAUCAUGGCCCUUACGGCCAGGGCUACACACGUGCUACAAUGGCGCAUACAAAGAGAAGCGACCUCGCGAGAGCAAGCGGACCUCAUAAAGUGCGUCGUAGUCCGGAUUGGAGUCUGCAACUCGACUCCAUGAAGUCGGAAUCGCUAGUAAUCGUAGAUCAGAAUGCUACGGUGAAUACGUUCCCGG